rnacentral:rRNA from 1 species
UACGUAGGGUGCAGGCGUUAAUCGGAAUUACUGGGCGUAAAGCGUGCGCAGGCGGUUUCUUAAGUCAGAUGUGAAAGCCCCGGGCUUAACCUGGGAACUGCGUUUGAAACUGGGAGACUUGAGUGUGGCAGAGGGGGGUGGAAUUCCACGUGUAGCAGUGAAAUGCGUAGAUAUGUGGAGGAACACGGAUGGCGAAGGCAGCAAACUGGGUUAACACUGACGCUCAUGCACGAAA